CCUUUACGAAUGGCAUAAAGUUUUCGCCGCCAUAAUUCAACAAAAACGUGCUGUUAAAACUUGCUCUGUUUAUCAUUAACGACGAGCCUUUGUAAUUUUUUCAUAAUUUUGUCUAAAAGAAAAUAAAAAAAUGCGUUAUUUAGUUGUAUAAUUCAUUUAUAAGAAAUAUUCUUUUUCUUUGUAUCUAGCCACGAUUUCCGGUUCCCGCCAUUUCGCGCCGGCGUCGUGGGUGUUUGGAUGCAACGUAGUGCUCCCGGUUUUAUUUUGUUUAAGCGACCUUUUCUGAAGUGUCAACCAAGGAUCAAACACUGGUCGUUGCGGGGAUCGGCUUCAGAGGGUCAAGGAUGGCGUCUUGAAUCGCUGUUCAGUCGACAGGCAACUGUAUGACAACGCCAUCCCUGUCAACCAGAGCGUCGACCGAAGUAGGGCGGCGUUGCGCGGACCUGGCCGCACCCGACCAACCGGUGGAGUACCUGACUCGGGCUGGGCGGAGACUACCUACAUCACGACCUUUUGAACUUUGAUCUCGUGGCGAGAAACAAUAUGACGUAAGGAAGUGUGUAUGUGGCUGGCGGGGCCGAGGGUGAAAUGCGCCACGUGUUUAUCCUGCCGGAUGACGACAGCGUCACCAACCUGUCAAAGAACGAGCUGGUGCAGCGCGUGAUGACUGCUAUCUCGUCCCUAGAACCGGAGUAGAAAAACGUGCGCAAAGCCCAAAUGAAGCGAACCAAAACACAGACAGGACUGAUAGCUUUUCGGUCGAGAAUGUUCUGAAGAUGCUGAUCAGUAGACCAUUGGUGACCGUUUUCGGUGGUAAUAUGGGAUCUUGUGGUGUUCCAAAGCAACCUGCUUUGGGUGUGGACGUAAGUGGCUCAACCUGACAGGAUUGAUGUUUUAGGUAGCCGUGCUAAUCAUAAACCCUAUAUUGAGUGUAUCUGUACAAAUUUUGUUUAUCGACAAUAAAUAAUACGUGAAGCGUUUCAGUUUUUUGGAAUAACCGCCCAAACCACACCACCUACAGACACGAUUCAACCACCAAUCGACAGCUCUCGAUCGUGGCUAUGUGCGCGGCACAUUUUUAAUCGCAUUUGCACCCCCCAAAUAGCCAAACUCGGCCCCUCGACUAUGUCGCCCGACGCUCCAGAGAUGGCGCUGACUGUCUGCGUGACGUCAGCUCACACGACCGGCGAUCGCCAAUCAUAAAACGUGCAUGUCGCCGCUGGACAAC